rnacentral:rRNA from 1 species
GGGUUCAGAACGUCGUGAGACAGUUCGGUCCAUAUCCGGUGUAUGCGCAGGAAUAUUGAGAGGAUUUCUCCCUAGUACGAGAGGACCGGGAGGAACGCACCUCUGGUGUGCCAGUUAUCGUGCCAACGGUAAACGCUGGGUAGCCAUGUGCGGAGUGGAUAACCGCUGAAAGCAUCUAAGUGGGAAGCCCACCUCAAGAUGAGUAUUGCCAUGGCUUAAGCCAGUAAGGUCACGGGAAGAACACCCGUUGAUAGGCUCUACGUGGAAGCUUGGUAACAAGUGCAGCGGAGGAGUACUAAUAGACCGAGGGCUUGACCAA